GCUUUGGUGGCUUAGUGGUUAAAGCAUCCACCUCGGAUGUGGGAGGUCACGGGUUUGAACCCUGGCCGAGUCA